CCUACGGGAGGCAGCAGUGAGGAAUAUUGGUCAAUGGACGAGAGUCUGAACCAGCGAAGCAGCGUGAAGGAUGACUGCUCUAUGGGUUGUAAACUUCUUUUAUAUGGGAAUAAAAUGUUACACGUGUGGGAUUUUGUAUGUACCAUAUGAAUAAGGAUCGGCUAACUCCGUACAAGCAGCCGCGGUAAUCCGGAGGAUCCAAGCGUUAUCCGGAUUUAUUGGGUUUAAAGGGAGCGUAGGUGGAUUGUUAAGUCAGUUGUGAAAGGUUGCGGCUCAACCGUGACAUUGCAGUUGAAACUGGCAGUCUUGAGUACAGUAGAGGUGAGCGGAAUUCGUGGUGUAGCGGUGAAAUGCUUAGAUAUCACGAAGAACACCGAUUGCGAAGGCAGCUCACUGGACUGCAACUGACGCUGAGGCUCGAAAGUGUGGGUAGCAAACAGGAUUAGAUACCCUAGUAGUC
rnacentral:rRNA from 1 species